GACGUUUGCGGCGGGCCUAACACAUGCAAGUCGAACGCGAAAGUCCUUCGGGGCGAGUAGAGUGGCGGACGGGUGAGUAACGCGUGGGAAUCUACCCUAGAGCGGGGGACAACCCGGGGAAACCCGGGCUAAUACCGCAUACGUCCUACGGGAGAAAGAGGGCCUCUGCUUGCACGCUCUCACUCCAGGAUGAGCCCACGUCCGAUUAGCUAGUUGGUAGGGUAAAGGCCUACCAAGGCCACGAUCGGUAGCUGGUCUGAGAGGAUGAUCAGCCACACUGGGACUGAGACACGGCCCAGACUCCUACGGGAGGCAGCAGUGGGGAAUAUUGGACAAUGGGCGCAAGCCUGAUCCAGCAAUGCCGCGUGUGUGAGGAAGGCCUGCGGGUUGUAAAGCACUUUCAGUGGGGAAGAACAGAUUCGGGUCAAUACCCCGGAGCCCUGACGUUACCCACAGAAGAAGCACCAGCUAACUCCGUG
rnacentral:rRNA from 1 species